AGUCCGGGGGCGUCUCCGCCAAGUCGGCUUCGGCCGGCUGGGGGCGCACCCUUAGCGCACACGUUGGUACCCGAAAGAUGGUGAACUAUGCCUGGCCAGGAUGAAGUCAGGGGAAACCCUGAUGGAGGUCCGCAGCGAUUCUGACGUGCAAAUCGAUCGUCUGAGCUGGGUAUAGGGGCGAAAGACUAAUCGAACCAUCUAGUAGCUGGUUCCAUCCGAAGUUUCCCUCAGGAUAGCUGGCGCCGAUGUGUCCCGCCCGUUCGCGGGCGUACGGACGCCGGUGGGACUCCGCGCUGUACGGCGCGGUAACAACACGCUCGUAACACGGAGGAUGUCUCAUACGGUAAAGCGAAUGAUUAGAGGACAUUGGGGCCGAAACGACCUCAACCUAUUCUCAAACUAUAAAUGAGUGAGAUCGCCGGCUUUACCUGGUACACCGCGUGAACCGCGUGCGAAGCCGGCGACGGAACCCUAGGCGCUUAGUGGGCCAUUUUUGGUAAGCAGAACUGGCGCUGCGGGAUGAACCGAACGCCGAGUUAAGGCGCCGAAAUCGACGCGUAUUCAGAGACCAUGAAAGGCGUUGGUUGCUGAUGACAGCAGGACGGUGGCCAUGGAAGUCGGAAUCCGCUAAGGAGUGUGUAACAACUCACCUGCCGAAGCAACUAGCUCUGAAAAUGGAUGGCGCUGGAGCGUCGUGCCUAUACUCGGCCGUCGACGGCAUAGUGGGGCCAGUCGUCGCUCGCGGCGGCCGGUCCCGGCAAGCCUCGACGAGUAGAUGGCGCGGCGGUGUGCGUCGAAGGGCAGGUCGCGAGACCGCCUGUAGCCGCCGUCGGUGCAGAUCUUGGUGGUAGUAGCAAAUACUCGAGAGGGGCCCUCGGGGGCUGCCGUGGAGAAGGGUUUCUUGUGAACAGCCGUUGUCCAAGAGUCAGUCGAUCCUAAGCCCGGGGGAGAGAUCCUCGUACCACGGGGCGAAAGGCGUUUUCGAAUCGCCCUUGGGGGCGA
rnacentral:ncRNA from 1 species